GAUGAACGCUGGCGGCGUGCUUAACACAUGCAAGUCGAACGGAAAGGCCCAAGCUUGCUUGGGUACUCGAGUGGCGAACGGGUGAGUAACACGUGGGUGAUCUGCCCUGCACUUCGGGAUAAGCCUGGGAAACUGGGUCUAAUACCGGAUAGGACGAUGGUUUGGAUGCCAUUGUGGAAAGUUUUUUCGGUGUGGGAUGAGCUCGCGGCCUAUCAGCUUGUUGGUGGGGUAAUGGCCUACCAAGGCGUCGACGGGUAGCCGGCCUGAGAGGGUGUACGGCCACAUUGGGACCGAGAUACGGGCCAGACUCCUACGGGAGGCAGCAGUGGGGAAUAUUGGACAAUGGGCGCAAGCCUGAGGCAGCGACGCCGCGUGGGGGAUGACGGCCUUCGGGUUGUAAACUCCUUUCGCUAGGGACGAAGCGUUUUUGUGACGGUACCUGGAGAAGAAGCACCGGCUAACUACGUG
rnacentral:rRNA from 1 species